rnacentral:rRNA from 1 species
GACGAACGCUGGCGGCGUGCUUAACACAUGCAAGUCGAACGGAAAGGCCCCUUCGGGGGUACUCGAGUGGCGCACGGGUGAGUAACACGUGAGUAACCUGCCCUUGACUUCGGGAUAACUUCAGGAAACUGGGGCUAAUACCGGAUAGGAAUCCUUGCUGCAUGGUGGGGGUUGGAAAGCUUCGGCGGUUUUGGAUGGACUCGCGGCUUAUCAGCUUGUUGGUGGGGUAGUGGCUUACCAAGGCUUUGACGGGUAGCCGGCCUGAGAGGGCGACCGGCCACAUUGGGACUGAGAUACGGCCCAGACUCCUACGGGAGGCAGCAGUGGGGAAUAUUGCACAAUGGGCGGAAGCCUGAUGCAGCAACGCCGCGUGCGGGAUGGCGGCCUUCGGGUUGUAAACCGCUUUCAGCAGGGGCGAAGCUUGUGGUGACGGUACCUGCAGAAGAAGCACCGGCUAACUACGUG